CAAAUACUCCCUCCGUCCGAAAAUACUUGUCCUAAAGAUGAAUGUAUCCAGACUUAUUUUAGUUAUAGAUACAUCCAUUAUAUCCAUUUUAGGACAAGUAUUUUCGGAUGGA
rfam:Hordeum vulgare subsp. vulgare, WGS project CAJW01000000 data, contig: morex_contig_64236